GACGAACGCUGGCAGCGUGCCUAAUACAUGCAAGUUGAGCGAUGAAGAUUGGUGCUUGCACCAAUUUGAAGAGCAGCGAACGGGUGAGUAACGCGUGGGGAAUCUGCCUUUGAGCGGGGGACAACAUUUGGAAACGAAUGCUAAUACCGCAUAAUAACUUUAAACAUAAGUUUUAAGUUUGAAAGAUGCAAUUGCAUCACUCAAAGAUGAUCCCGCGUUGUAUUAGCUAGUUGGUGAGGUAAAGGCUCACCAAGGCGAUGAUACAUAGCCGACCUGAGAGGGUGAUCGGCCACAUUGGGACUGAGACACGGCCCAAACUCCUACGGGAGGCAGCAGUAGGGAAUCUUCGGCAAUGGACGAAAGUCUGACCGAGCAACGCCGCGUGAGUGAAGAAGGUUUUCGGAUCGUAAAACUCUGUUGGUAGAGAAGAACGUUGGUGAGAGUGGAAAGCUCAUCAAGUGACGGUAACUACCCAGAAAGGGACGGCUAACUACGUG
rnacentral:rRNA from 1 species